CUUGUGUCGAGCUCCUAUUCAUCUGUCGCUUUCCCUUCCACUGCCAAGGAUGAUGAUGCCGCUGAUUCGGUUAUGGUUACUGUUCAAAGACGCAUUAUGCUCUAAGACGAGAGAUAAAUAUAGACAUCCCUUACCCUUAUUUUUUUUAAAUUAUUUUCUUUUACAUCAAAUUGAAUAUUUAUUAGAUGGCGUACUUUUAAAUUAUUUGUAUUAGGGCUUGCUUUUCUGGAAGCUAUUAUUUCUGCUUCUCUUCUUUCCAGUUAUACAGCUGCACUUACCAGGAUUCCCUAUUCUAUGAGUUCACUGACAGAAGAUGAAAAAUCUGGACUUGCGGUUGUCGAUUGGGAUGAAACCUGAUCAAAAAGGUGUUUGUAUAAGAAGAAUUGGUCCCACUACUCCAUAAUUCAAAAUUUUGAAACCAUCUGAUGUUAUCCUUAGCUGUGAUAGAAUUGAUAUUGCCAAUGAUAUGGACUAGGUGAUUGAGACAAAUGUUCUGAUGGCUGUAAAGGGAGAGAUACAAUUCUCACAUCCCAUCUCAGUGCCUCCCUAUUCUUCUAUAUGCAUAAGUGUAAAUAUUUUCUACUAUUUAAACUUUAACUCCAGUUAAAAUGAAAAUUGUUGUUAUAUCUCACGAAUAGGAAAUUUUAGUUUCUAAAUAUAGCACAAUGCAAAAUAUCAUGGAAGAGAAGCCUUACACUCAUGAUAAAGGAUAGUAUAGGAAUUUUCAUCAAGUGAGAUUUAAAUAUAUCAAUAGAGACAUUGCAUAAUGAGUGCUAUUUGUUCUCUUCAUAUCAUUUAUAAGGUUGUGAUUCUUCUCUGUAGUUUGAUGAUCGGAAUACUAUAGAUGUCAGAACUUGCAAUAGAUUAAAACACGACUUGUAAAUCCUUUAGUUAAGCAUCAUUAAACAUACGAAUACAUUAGAUAUUCCGAAGUAGAUAUGCUCUCUCUUUUUCCCCGAAAUUUCAAGUUGAAUUUGGCAGGUGGAUGUAUGAUUUCUCAUGCAUGUAUCAACAAAAUACUUUGCCUCUUUUGGAUUUCGCAAUGUCUCUAUCAUGCUAUAUAUUGAGAUGAAUCUUAAGUUUAGAAAAUAUCUUUUAUUGUAGUAAACACUAACUUAUUUUGGUCAUUUUGCAAUUCCAUCUAGACACAGACUUGUAGAUAUUUCUGAUAUGAGUUUUCCAGUUUUUGUUUGUGAUUUUACGUAGAACUGAAUCAGGGACAUUUAAGGAUGGUGUUUUGCUUGUCAACAAAGAUGGAGUUCGUAUUAUUUCGUAGAGUGAAGUUGAUGCUGGUUGUAUGAUUAUUUGAAAAUGGUUACUAAAUGAUCUCUAAAGACGAAAGACGGCAUAAAAAUUGGGGCUUUAAAGAAGGAGGCAAUAAAUGCUUCAAACAAGUUCACUCAUUCUCUUAAGAAAAGGGGGAAAAGGAGAAUUCACUACAGGGUUUUUUCAUUUCCGUCGAGGAUGUAACAAUUCAAGAGAGGAAAGUUAUGUCUGUGAUAUGCGUCAAAAACUCCUUCAGUAGAUCUGAAAAAGUUUCAAUAAGAUCAUUUGAAGAAGAGAUGAGAGAGUCAUCAACUUGAAUCUAAUAGCAAUAAUAGGCCUAUAGGAAUCAAUAGUUCAUCGAGUUCGGAGUUGGGUUUGCCCCUUGUUUUGUUUAAUUCACGAAGACAGAUCUCUACUUGAAUACUAAUGUCAGAACAAUGUCACCUUUUGUGCAUGGAGAAGUAUACGUCUUGGACGAUAGAGGAGAGGCUAGAAAAGCUUCCUUUAAUCAAGCUUAGUUUGUUUAGAUUUGUACAUUUGGUUUCACUUAAAUUUAGUUUAUGCACUUUUUUUUAUUACGGUGUUAAAUCUUGCUUGAAAUUGUAGUUAAUAGUUAAAUUUUCCUCAUUCGGGGUACUGAUUAUUAUUAUCCAUAUUUUUUCAUUAUCAAAGGUAUUGAAUAAAUGUGAAGUAGAUGAUUGGAACUUUAUAUCAUAUGUGACUACUAAAAUGGAGGUAGCACAAACGAUUUGGCCACUACUAAAAUGGAACAGAUAAUGAAAAAACCAACAUCAGAGGGAAAAAAGGACACAAGAAGCAGGCUUUGAGUUUUGAUAUCCAUUUGUCUUUGCUUUAACUCUAAUUUCACUCUUUCUCUCUGGAUCGUAGAAAAGACACCCAAAGAAUUUGUAGAUAACUCAGACAUAUACAUGUUUAAAUUGGUUUAGCAUCUUUGGUGAUUCGCGUUAAAAAUAUUAUGAUUAUUCGAACAAGUUUUGAAGUUCUUCAUCGUCGAUCCAAGUAAAGGCCUAAUUGAUUUCUAGGUAUACCGUCUUUCUUUUGCACUUGAGGAACAUGUUCUAAUUUUCAUUUUUCAAUAGUUGAGUCAAACCAUUCUUCAUCUUCAAUAACUUGUUAAUUGAGUUCUAAUCCGUAUAAGAAUGACUUUAAAUUGUAAUAAAUGUAAAAUAUGCUUCAAAUUGAUCAUAAUUUGUAGUGAACUUCUUGUCUUCUAUCGGGUUAUAAGAAUGUCAUUUCUUGAUGUUUUCAAGUGGCAGAACACGCUAGAUUAUAUGGGGAAAAUGGUGAGUACCUUGUUUGAAUGAUGCUUUGACUUUAUUUUCAAGAUUUCCGCUAUGGUUGUAAUUCAAGAUGGUUAGACCAUUGUAUUAUGUUAUAAAUAUAUCUAUUUGGUUGCAAGUUAUACUGAACGUGUUUCAACCCUCUUGAAAGUUAUAUACACACACAUAAGUAUAGUGAAUACUUUUGGUUUAACUUGUGUAAUUCUAUAUGGAGCCAUAAUUUCAGUUGUCGAAUUUUUUUACUGGUUAAAUUAUUUAGCUAAGCAUAUAAGGUAAUUCCUUAGAUGUAUCGUGUGGAGUGUAAACUUUUAUUGUCUACAUUGAUUGUAGAGUAGCAAUCUUCAAACAUAAAUUGGAGUUUAGUGAUUCAAGUGUAAAAGAAACUAAUGGGAAUACAGUUGGCAACUCAACAAACGGAGUUACCUCAUACGGAUGAACUUAGUUUCACGGAUAUAGAGUUGGAUUAUCAUGCUAAGAAUGCCCUCAAAGUUGUUGUCCAGAUACACAUUCAUGGUUAAUAUUAUGAAAUUGUGUAGAUUGAUGUGAUUCUCAGCCUUUUAGGAGGUACACUUGUCCUAGAGCGCAUUCGUCCAACUAUGCUUAGUGAUGUUCAAAGUAAAAUGGGAGCUGCAGAAACAACAACAUUUGAAGAGGUCCAGAACAUUUUUGACAAAGGUGGGGCAAAGGGUUUGGCUAGAGACAUAGUCGAAAAUACCCCAAAGAUUACAAUUGGUAAAAAAGUAAAUGUUGAUGCUUCUGGGGAGUCUCUCUUCUCCAAUCUAAUUUCAAGUAUUAUUGAUCAUGAAUAAUAAUGUUUCUUUAUUAGUCGGCUUGAUUGCAAAGAAAAUCUUAUGGCAUCGUAUUCUAAACUUCAAAACUUAUAGGUCAGGGAAAUUGUUUGAAAUUUGCCUCAGUGCCACCACGUUUCAACUCCUUGCAUUGAUAUCUAGCUUCUGGGACAUAGAUCUUGCACAAUGUCUAUGAGGGGGCAGUAAUCUUCUCCUCUGUAACUUAUCAUCACCCCUCCAUUAAGAGAGUAAACACUUCAUUUAUUACGCAUUCUUCGGUUGACCUCUUUCAUACUUUAAUUGUAUAGGUACUAUGCAGUCAUGAUGAUAUCUUUGAAUCUAUAUAAGUUUUCUUCUGUGCCUACAAGAAUCAAAUCGUUUAUUGAGUUUGGAGUUGGGUUUCCCCCUUUGUUUUGUUCAGUUCAUGAAGACAGACGUGAAAACCUAAAGUCAAGAUGUCAUUGCUUUGGUCCUCAGCUCUGGAAUAAUAAUUAUUAAAAUCGAGAUUGCUAUGUGCGCAUUCAAUCACAAUAGAAUUAAUCGAUGGCAUCCUUUGGAAAUCAUAGUGGAUUUGCCAACAACUCUAAGAUUUUUCAUCAUUUUACUUUCUAGGUUCAAAACAAAUUACUUUUCUUUCCUUGGGCUAAAGUAUUGUUGAAGAGUAACAGCAAGCAGUUUUGGUCUCAUCCUUAAGGCAUGUUGAUUUCGUGUUACUUCCAUCAUGAUUUGUUAAAUUUUUUCUCCUUUUCUUGUUUUUAUUUUCUUCUAUUGUCUAUCUCCUUUUUUGGAGGUAUGAAGUACAAUACAACACCCUAAUAUGUACUUCUACUCAUUAACCUUUAUUCAAUUAGUGCA